GACGAACGCUGGCGGCGUGCUUAACACAUGCAAGUCGAACGGAAAGGCCCUGCUUUUGUGGGGUGCUCGAGUGGCGAACGGGUGAGUAACACGUGAGUAACCUGCCCUUGACUUUGGGAUAACUUCAGGAAACUGGGGCUAAUACCGGAUAGGAGCUCCUGCUGCAUGGUGGGGGUUGGAAAGUUUCGGCGGUUGGGGAUGGACUCGCGGCUUAUCAGCUUGUUGGUGGGGUAGUGGCUUACCAAGGCUUUGACGGGUAGCCGGCCUGAGAGGGUGACCGGCCACAGUGGGACUGAGAUACGGACCAGACUCAUACGGGAGGCAGCAGUGGGGAAUAUUGCACAAUGGGCGGAAGCCUGAUGCAGCAACGCCGCGUGCGGGAUGACGGCCUUCGGGUUGUAAACCGAUUUCGCCUGUGACGAAGCGUGAGUGACGGUAAUGGGUAAAGAAGCACCGGCUAACUACGUG
rnacentral:rRNA from 1 species